rnacentral:rRNA from 1 species
AUUGAACGCUGGCGGCAGGCCUAACACAUGCAAGUCGAACGAGUGGCGGACGGGUGAGUAAUUUCUUGGAAACUGCCUGAUGGAGGGGGAUAACUACUGGAAACGGUAGCUAAUACCGCAUACCAUCGGAUGUGCCCAGAUGGGAUUAGCUAGUAGGUGGGGUAACGGCUCACCUAGGCGACGCUCCCUAGCUGGUCUGAGAGGAUGACCGGCCACACUGGAACUGAGACACGGGCCAGACUCCUACGGGAGGCAGCAGUGGGGAAUAUUGCACAAUGGGCGAAAGCCUGACGCAGCCAUGCCGCGUGUAUGAAGAAGGCCGUCGGGUUGUAAAGUACUUUCAGCGGAGAGGCGUUACCCGCAGAGGAAGCACCGGCUAACUACGUGCCAGCAGCCGCGGUAAUAC